GGGGCCGCGCGGCGGGCGUGCACACCUGCUGCAACGAGCGGGCUCACCUGCUGCAACGAGCGGGCGCUGCUCUCCCGCUUACGUGCGGUAGCACCGCGUUAAGCGGCACGGAACGCAGCAGGUGUUUUCCCCUGUGAUCUCACGCGGUGCGCGCCGGCCGCGGCAAAGCGAGCGCGAGCAAACAGCGUUUCUUUUCCACACGCGGGGCACAGAGGAUGAACGGGAUGGCUGAACAACUGGCGGCGCGCCUGCGGAAACCCGAGGGCUGUCGUUACGGAGCGGAGAACCCUUGGCGUGUUCCAAGGCAGACGACCCUGGUUUACAUUUGCUCGUGUCAAAGGCGCUGCAUGCUACAGACAGAGCAGACCGAAACCAACAGAGUGCUUCACAAAUACUGAUGGAGAGUGAAAAUGCAAAAGGAUAACUGCGGCGUCUAAAGGGAAAUUGUCCAAGCACAGGAGAAGAGGCAUACUGGAAAGAGAAGAGCCUUCGCUCCUAGCUGGGCGGCUCCAGAUUAUUCACUGGAUAAUCUUCCUCCAGUAAGAAGUGUCUUGAACUGAAAGGCAUCUUUGAUCGACCACUCCUUACCGAAGUGAUCAAAACUUUGAAAUAAAUGGAUCGUAAAUGAGCAUUAACUACAUCAGUGUGAUCUAUUGCUCUGACACCUAUUUGCCACAGGAGGAAGGUGAGGUCUCCAUUUGUCUCUGCUAAAGGAAUGAGGUAUUUCUAACACGAGGUUAGAAGGCUGCAGUGACAGGAGCUGGGCAUGCCCAGGCCCUGCUGUGUGAAGCUGUGCUUCAGUGAGGGCACUCUGUAGCCCAUCACUCGCUCACUAACAGAAUGACUUGGUUCCAUCAGUCUGAUUUACAGGAGAGGGAACUGAUGUAGAGAAGUGAGCAGUGCCAUUGGGAGCGUGUGUUUUUAAGUGACAGAUCUCCGAGUGACUUCAUGCAGACCAGUGUUACUCAACAACGUCCUGUUUGACUGUGUUCUGAUAUAUGUCGGUUGCAAGAAGGUUUUCUUGACCUGCUGAUUCUGCUUCAGCCAUCUUCCAUGUUUCCAGUGUCCGUGUCCGUGUUGGGCUGACUGCAGUCCCUGAUUUGCUAGAGAAGUCGUUGCCAUGGCUCAGCACCGUGCCAGACGGGGCCCCCGCCGCCCUGAGGAAUUUGUGUCAGAUAGAACAUUUCGUACGAUGCAGAAGGUUCUGUCACCUUGAUUCGAAGGAAGUUGUUUGUGUUAAUGCUUAAAGGUAACGUGAGACGAGGCGAGCUCUUUACUUUGGAACACGCGCUGUGCCAUUGAUGUGCGCAGUACAGUAAAUAUAACAAAGAGCGCACUGUGGUAUUUACACCCACCGCAAACACAUUUGCAAAAUAGGAUUAUUUGCAAUCCAAUAAAAUGGUACUGCUUUUAAGGCAGAAACCCUGUGUGUUCAGUGAAGUGUGCUCCUCAGCUUUUCUUACCGUUUAUCGACCCGACACAUUCCUCCCCAUUUUUUUAAUGCCUUCCAUUAAUAGUUAAGAAAAACCUAGGGAAAACAAACACUCUUUUCCUGAUUGUUUAUUCACCAGUCUCUUAGGAACCAUAAUUACGUCUCCCAGGAAUUGUGUGUUUUAUCAUACUGUAUAUCUUAAAGAGCCACUUUAGGUAAAAUAACAAGGAGUGCCUUAUGAAGGAAAAUUGGAUUCAUUUUAAGACUUUUUUAACCCUCCAAAGAAUGGCUCUUUGUUUACUUCUUUAGUGCAUGUGGCAACUUGCCCAAGUAAAUACUAUGCUGCAUAAAUACCAGAGAUUGGUAUUUAUGAUAUUACAUAAACAUACUCUGAAUAAUGACUCAUUGUUGCGAUGAAGACGAAUGCAAGCAAUAUACAUCGCAGUCAGUGCGUUAUUUCUUGUCACUUUAUUAAGUGGCAUUGAGCGUUGCAGGACAAAAUGACAGCAACUGGAGAGGAGAAGUCUGAUUGCGUUAUUUAGCAGAUCUGAGUUUACAAAACAGAAGAGAAAACAGCCAAAACAGGAAGGUUAUGAGGAUAACAUAGCAGAUUAAUUAUCAAUAUGCAGGGUAAGUAGUUAGGUGUAUGGUGGGGCUGACUGGAAAAGGGUUUAUUGCUCUUUGAAUUGAAAACUCAUGCAGUGCAUUUAUUCCACUGUCCCAGCAGGGAGCUGAGCCUUCGGGUUCAUCAUCCUACCUGUGGUGAUGCUCACGUCCACUUGCAGCAACAGUAUUUCCCUCACAGAGCUGCACUUUUGGUGGCUUUGUUUCUCAGAGCCUCAGUCUGUCCAGAUGGAGUUUUGUUACACCUUUACCUGCACUCUGAAAAAAUUGUGUGAGGGUUUGUGUGAAGGGAAAAUGUGGCACACUUUGCAGUGCUGCCAAAUGAUGGAGCUCAGAUCUGAGAAAUCAAAAUCCCGAAGGGAAGGUGCCUAUGCCAAAACCUCUAUUUAAAGCCAGCAGGGUAUGACCAAGUUAGUUAUCUGUAAAGCCCAUGCUUAUAGCCUGUCUUGUCCUAACAGCAAAAACAACGGACACUCAAAUUCUCAAAGGGCCACUGAACCAUCCCUUUAAAAAUGACAAUGAAAAUUAUCACCCAUAAUAAUGGACUAGCCUGAAAAAAUGUGAUUUUUUGGAAAUUCUAUUCUUCCCCCGAAGCAGCUCCUCAGGAACAGCAGAGAAAGCCUGCAGAGUGGGAGGGUGACCCUCAUAAUACGUGGAGGAGUGGGAUGCUCAGCUGUGGGAGGACUCUGCUCCAGGACUGCAGGCCUGCACACUGUGAUUGAGGUUAGAAGGGAACACAGGGGACAGGAGAACAGAAGGCUGCUCUUCUGCAAAGACCAAUGAUGUCUCCUGGUCCAGGACACAGAUGCAUGGCAUUAGUUUGGUGAGGCUCUACUAGCAAGCUCAGGAAUGACAGUGCUGCUCUCUGCGCCAUCCUGGAUGACACAAAAUUUGUGCCUAAAUCCCUGGAUGGAUGCAGACUUAAUUUCACUGGCAAACGCUUUGAAAAGUGCAGCCCUCUGUAACACCUCCCGAAGAAGAAAAGACAGAGACAGACUGCAUGUCAUUCCUUCACUCCUGUGUGCCCAUAUCAGCACUCACUGCGCCUACAGAGAAGCACAAGAAUCACACGGUUCCAGGCAAAAUGCAUGUCAGUGACCCAGCAGCGAUGCACACUGCGCCGGCACCAGAGGAUCACCAGAGGAGCUGUGAACUACCCCAGACAGAAAGCAGUGGUGCAAAGGUACUGUUGGUAAGGGAGAUGGCACUCAGGCUGGGAAGCAUGCAUGUAUGAAACUCAGCCCAAAUAUGCUCCUUUACCUGAACACAUGGGAACUACGUCCUUCCUGCCCUCUGCUUCAGGAGUUGGAGAGCAGGAGCGUUCUCUGUCCUGCCAUCCUCUGCCUGGGAGCAAAGCAGGGCAGGGGAGGCACCGGUCAGCAUUCAGGUUUUGUACUGGCUUCAUGCCAUUGCCACUUUGUCACUGCAGUUGUCCUGUUCAGCUGGGACAGGAGCCACUGAACCACAAACAUGCCCAUGCUGAGCUCUACCCUGGUGGUCUUCAUCCCAAUGUGGGGUCCACCUCGUUCCCCACAGGCUGCUGGGUUCAGUUAGCAUCUCUGUGGUCUCUUUUUCUCUCUGUCACAUCCUUUUCUUUCAGCCAAGUGCCUACUUGCAUGUAGGGCUCAAGGGGUCUUCGAAUAUGGGUGAAAGCAAAACGCACAAGAGAAGUUCCAUGAGGAAGGACAGGCUGGUGACCAUGUUGUCUGUUGUAUGUAAAUAGCUUUCCUUGGCAUUGCUUCUAACUGCUGGGUUAUGGUAGGGUUGUGCUCUUGAAUUUCUGAAUAGAAAUAAGGUGAAAAAUACUACUUUUUCACCUGAUGCUGUGCGCCUGAUGCAGAUGUCUGUGAAAUGACCUGUGUGUUUUAGCAUAAGACCAGAUAAAGGGAUAUGGUUUUAUACCUUCAUGCUCCACAGAAGUUUCUGUUGCUCUGCACCACACAGGGCUUGGCCAGUCCCUGUGUUGCAGCUCACCUGUCCAACUUCAACCCUUGAUUAGCAACUUUGUAGAGACGAUCUGAAGAAAAGCUCAGUGGAAAAGGUGCUCAUUAUCUCCAUAAGAGAUUUUGUCACAGCUGGAUAACAAAGUACAAAACUGGCCAGGAUUCCCCAUCGUAAUCUACAGGUGUUAGUGAUGAAAGUACCAGCCCCUCCGCUUUCAGCUGCACGCAGUAGUUAGGUGCUGUGUCACGCAGUACCGCAUUGUAUCAGUGGAUCUAGAGAUAGCGUACUCAGGUGUUUGUGUGUUACCCAGAGUGUUUCUGUAAUAUAAGUUUGUCUUAGGAAAAAAGAAAAAGAUGCCAGUGGCCUUGUCAGAUAUCUCUGAGCGAGAGCCAGAGUCGUGUAAGGGACUAGAAGUGUGAUAGCCAUUCUCCUACAGCCACAAGCAUCCAGCUGGUAUUAUUUAUGCACCAUUGACAGUGGGACAUGCUCAGACUUGAAGGACUGGUGCUGACCUUCCCUUGCUAAUCAUUUAUACACUCCUUGUUUCGAGCGCUCCACCUUAAGGUUUCUCAUGACUCACGUUCUCUCUGGAGUGAACAAAUAAAUCCUGAAGGACUCUGCAUGCUUCCAAGUGUGUAACCUGUCCCCUCGUACUGGUCCUGUUUUCAGCAACAGAAGCUCUCCAAGUAGCACUGCUAUUUAUUAAGGUGUGACCUCGGAGCCAUAGGACCUUGAGAGCUGAGAGGAUGGUGGCUUCAGCUUGGCUUAGGCUUAUCCUAAACUGUCAGUCCAAUGCUUUUGUGGGUGCCAUGAGGGAGGAAUAAAACUCCUCUGCAGUCUUUGGAAGCAGGAAAAUUGGGCUAGAAUCAUAGAAUGGCUGGAGUUGGAAGCAUGCAGAGUUCUCUCUCCAAAAUGGGGAGCAGUAAUUCAUGUCAUUUUCCUGAACUUCUGUAAGGCUUUAGGCAUGGCCCACAUCAUGUCCUUGUCUCUGCACUGGAGACGUGGUUUUGAAUGGACUGUUUUGUGGAAAAGAAAUGGACUGGAUGUCUGCAUACAGGGAGUUGCAGUCAAUGGCUCAGUGUUCAGGAGGAGAUCUGUGAUGAGUGAUGUGCCUCAGGAGACACACAGCUGUUAGAGCAGGCCCAAAGGAGAGACACAGAAAUGACUGGAGGGCUGGAGCAUUUUGCUUUCAGAUAUCCUUUAGUUGAAGGGAAUGGUAAAUUGAGGCCUAUUUCUGGAUUGUUCAGAACAAAAGACUUGAUCGUGGACACUCAAAUGCUGAGGGUGCUGCUGAUAAUCCUUGUUGUUCUCUCUGUAUUGAUGGGUCCAUCUGGGAGGCAGGGUUGACAUUCCCCCUUACCUUCCACUGCUUCUGGAAGUGGUACAUAAGCAGCAAAUGGUUGCAAAUGCUUUGAAUAUACAAAUAGAGUAGAAAGGUGAGUAUCAUAAAUAGUAUGACUGUAUUACAACGUAUAGGAAUAAUGAAAAACAUCAACAUUGUUGUUAAUUAGACGUGCAGUUCGUGAGCAGAGUGUUGAGCUUUGAGGAACAGGUAGGCCGGAGAGGAGAGGGCAAUAAGAGGGUACAAGAAAAUACCGCCUUGUCUUUGUCCCUUCCUUGUGUACCUCUUCCCUAAGAGGAGCUGCAGGGCAGUAGAGUGGGUGAGAAGGACAUCCCAGCUGGAAGGUCUGCUGAGAGCUUUGGAGAGCUCGUCUGUGGGGUCAGGGUUGGCUUGGCCACAGGGUCAGAGGUGGAGGGGAGGAAGGAACAUGUUUUGGCUUAUGUUCCAGACUGUGGGGCUGGAUUAGGUGCACGCACCUGGGAUAGGCUAAUGAGAAUGGGGACACGUCAGAAUGUCAUUGUGAAGGAGAGAGGCUUGAUCUGCUGUGUUGUGAGCGCUGCUGCCCUCAUGGUGCCUGGGCACAUCUGACAGGACAGAGCUUACCACAGCACUCACAGGGGAGCGAUGUUAGGCACUAUGGGUUGGUCCAGCAUGAGUAACUCAAACUGCAGGGGUGUGAUGCAGAGAAGGAUGUGGUUCUUUUAAUUCCUUCCCCUUGUCCCAUUGUUUCCUUCCCAGGCGCACACAAAAUCUUCCUCUGCCUCUCCCUCCCAGCCCAGCUUUUCUCCUCUCUUUGGUUGUCCUUUUGUCCUUCCCUCCUGUAGAGCCAAGCUCAACAGCGUAACCCACACCCAACAGAAAGGGACUUCUUUUGGCAAUUUCUCCAUAUCUGGGACCCAUAUGUCAAGCAAAACAAUUGCAAAUGGGCUUAGUUGGCAUUCCUUUGGCACGGAAUGGCAGAAAGCACGGGCAGGAGUGGGUUCUUCAGAAAAGCUUGGAUUUCACAGCUGUGCCCAUGAGCGGCACUGGGGGACACUGUAUGACCUCAGAGAGCCUGGUCCCACCACAGAGCUGCAGUGGGAGCCCAGGUCCUGACUCCUUCACUGCAGGCGGGAGGUUGGGAAGGUCAGGCUGUGUGCAAGCAGGUGCCUCCUGUGCCCAGGACAUGGAGGACAUGACCUGCCCUGCCAUUAGCUGUUAGAGUCACGCUCUAGAGGCUGGCUUCAGAGGAUGCGUUAUGUCUUUGUGAAGCACCACACACAGGGUCAGGGCUAGAUUGCCUCAUCACCAAAACACAAAUUCAUGUAUUUGUCCUGAAGCGAGGCUGGUGCAACAGGACAAAAUGGAAUAACGUAACAGCUGGGAGCCAGGGUGUGCUGCAACGUCAGAGGAGAAAUACCCCGGGAGCCCUACAGGAAAGCAAUGGUGAACUCUACUCUCAGAUUAAUCAGGCUUUUAUUUCUGCCACAGUCACGAUGUCAAAGCUUUUCUCUGCAUGCUGAAGAUGCCAUGUCUGGCACUGAGAGCUGCAGUGUGGUGGAGAUACAUCUUUUAAUGGAAGUUCCCAGGCUGCGUGCCAGGACACUGCAAACAGACACAUUUAUGGUCUUUCAGGUACAAACAUGACUGAUUUGUGAUCAAGAGGAGGAUGUGGUUCUUUCCACUCCUUCGCCUUGUCCCCUUCUAUGCCAUCCAAAGCACACACGUCUCCACGAUGCAACCUUCCCAGGGCUGGUAAACAAUAUUCCUAUUGUAAAUUACUUCAGGAUCUUCACAAAAAAAUUAGUACAAUCCCCACAAGCACAGAUUGUUAAAAUACUCUGUAAAUUACUUGUCUGGCUUCACUGGGGUAACUCAACAAGUCCAGCAGCUGUAGGGCUUAUCUCACAUCUCGGUUGCUGAACCUGUGCUCUUUUGUCACUGACUCCAAUGUGUAACUUUGUUAACAUCGAAUAGUUUGCAAAUUGGGAAAAACUCCUCUAGGAAUUUGAAAUUUGUAUUUCCUUAGUGAUCCUGGACCCAAGUGGACAGUGAGAAGGGACCUGAUGCUCAGUGCGUGCAGUGUGCUGAAGAAGUGCAUCUCUGCAGACAGCUGCAGGCAGCCCUGAGCUUGCUGUGCUCGCGCUGUGCAAUGUUCAGGCCGGUGCCGGCCCCACGGCCGCGUUCUGCUAUCAGGGCAGGAACUGUAGAGCGACGUUUUUCAGACACCUCCUUGGGUUUGACAGUGAGGAACGUGGCUGCUCUGCAGUCUUGUGGUGCGUGUGACAGUACGACUGUGCUCGCAUGUACAAAGCCAGCUGCCAUCUCUGUUGCAGUGUUAAGAAAAUAUAAGUUAAAGGUGCAUUAUGUCCAGCAACAGCCCCAAGGUGUGCUGGAUGCAGUGAUCUAUGACAAAGCAGCAGUUUAUGGCCUCACACUACUGUUUUCUGUCAACCCGCUCACAGAGAAGUAUUUGUGGCGUUGUUGGUCCCAUGCUUCAUGGCAUUAUUUCUCCAGGACCGUGAGCAGGGGACUGCUUGUCAUCUCAAGUUGGGUACUGCCUGAUGUUUCUCUUCUAACAGUAAUAUAAAGCCUCUGUGCAUCAAUGAGAGGGGCUGAGAGAUGCAGGAACUGCUGCAUAUGCAGCAUUAUUUACGGAGACCAGUGCUGGGCUAUUUCUCCACCUACUUCACCUCCUCCACUCAAGGGCGUUCAGAUGCCUUGUAGACCAAACGUGCAGGGGGCAGUAAUAUUUUUACUAGGCCAACUGAUAAACAAACAUAUUUUGGGAGCCGUUCCCAGGGCCACGCAGCAGUUCUGUGAGAUGAAGUCCUGGCGCAGGACUCCUGGGCUUUACCAAAAGUCCAGAAACCACUGUUUCUCCCCUCGUGGCCAGUCCUGUCUCAGCAAUAUUUUGAUUGCUCUCCUAUAAAAACUCUUUUCUUUCCCCCCUCUGGGCUGUUAAUGUUACCACAUAGAUAUUUUCUAUCAACCUACUCCAGAAAAUUUAAGUUAUUCUGAAAAGGGAAUUAAGUAAGGAAGAUUUACUGCAGUUUGAAAAAGCCAGCGCUUGCAAGACACGUCCCCCAAGGAACGCUCUGUGAUCCAGGGGAUCAUUUCGUACCAUUGCAUUGGCAGCACUUCCCUGGUCAAUGCCUUUCCGCGUUUCUUCCUGGGAUAUUAAGGUGAAUUUAAUCAUCAGUUAAAACAUCUAGCAAGAUGAAACUUGUUUCCAGAAGCGGUUUGAUUGGAGUCGCAUCGAGUUAUUUAGUUUCCACUUUUUAGUGGCAUUUUUUGCAGCACUGAUUAUCAAGUAGUUGUUGGUUUCACCCCAUUCCCAAUAACUGGGGCAAAAUUUGGAAGCAUUUCACACCGAUCUUUGCAGAGCAAGAGCAGGAUGGUUUGUUCAAUCCCCAUGUGGGAUUUGUUCUACAUUCACUGCAUUGCUGGGUGUCCUCACCUGGCUGGCUGUGCUGCUGUCUCCCUGGCUGUGUGUUGUAACCUAAAGGCGAUUAAAGAUGGCUGCAAGGCGGCUCCAGCUUUACCAUCUAAAACUGAGCGAAUGGAGGUAAGUGGUGCAUAGAUUUCUGAUUCUCUCAACAGAAGGGCCGCUUGCCUUUAUUAUAGCUGGCACUUAAUCACAAACCAAGACACUUCCAGUCUGGCUGUUCAUCUCUGGGCUCUACAGAAAGAGCCAUGGCUGUGCUGAGCAGGGCCUGUGGUGGUGCCAAGCCAAAGGAGAGCCCCCAGUCACCAUCACCAAUUUGUGAACAUGGGUGGGACCAGGCCCUGGCAGGCCCUGCACUGCCCCGGUGUCCUGGCAAAGCCUGCAGGGAGGUGGUCCUGCAGCCCCAGCAGCAUCCCUUGGAAGCAGGCAUCGCCUCGCUGCCCGCCACGGCCACUGAGCGAUGCCUGGCAAAGGUGACUCAGAGGCAGGGAGCCCUGCUAAGGCCCUGGCACAUCCCUGCACUGAAACACUGCCUACAGCCUCCUGCCUCUGCCCAGCUCGCCCUUCCUGCCGCCUUUCCCCCGGGGUCCUAACUCCCGACUUUGUUGCUCUAUAAACAUAAUAACAAUAAUUAUUCUCUCAUUGGACACAUAGCCAUCUUCUUUGUUUGCAGGCUUAGAUAAAUAUCAUUCAAAUCAUGGAGUCUGAUUCAUGAGUCAGGAUGAUGGCAGCCCUCCAAAACCUCCUUGCCCAUGGAGAGUGUGUUUGUGUGAGAGAGAUAGAGAGUUUCACUGUAUGAAGCGUAAGAAACUGGAAGCCAAGUGAAUUAAAUACAAAGCAGAUAAUUAUGUGUAAUUCAUUUACUGACUAAUGAUUGCACCUGGUACAGAAGUUUAUGAAUUCAUUUCACUCUGCAUUUGUUCUCAAAAAACAAUCUCUCUGCACAAGAUAAAAACUAGGCCUGUGUUUACGUUGGUAUUAUUGUAAGAUUCUGUCUCUCUGGUUCAUUCCCCAUUUUUUCUCACGACGUUUCACUUCUCCUGAGUUCACCUGGUGUCUCCUUGGCAGCGACAGCUGCUCCGUGCAGGCAGGGGCUGGGUGUCACAGCAGAAUGGAGCCUUUGCUUCUCUCCUGCAGUCUGUGUGGUGUGAUUACACACAAGGCUUAUCUCCCAUGUGCUACAGCCAAACUUUGCCACCGAGGCUGUGCCUGCAGUGGGGAUCAGCAGGUCAUGGUCCCCCUCCCCCCUCUGCUGGGAUGGUCAGCAACUUGCUGCUCUUGCAGUGGUGCCACCCAGCUGUCCCUGCAGCCCGACACCAUCAGCUCCUUCCAGCUGCAGGUGGUGUCAGCCUUCACCUGCUGACACCUGGGUUGAAGACCCCAGGGGCCUCUGGCAAGGUGAAAAAGCUCGUGCAAAUCCAUGGGGGACAGCAGUGCCAUUGGUGCUGAUGUCACACUGAGGACAGCAGCCUGUGUGACACUGCUUGCACUGUGAGCUUGGGAGUGGAGCUCUGAGCCACGCUGGGCCCAAGGCUCUGCUGGAUGUGGGCAGCAGCAGGGACACUCCUAAGGUGAUGCUCUUACCACGUCGAGGAAACAAAAGACCUUUUCCAGCUGUAUCCCAUGGGCAGUCAUCAGGCAUCCAGCAAAGCCCCUCCUCCCAGUCCAUCAGUGUGUCAAAGACAUCUCACCUCAAUCAUCCAUCACCCUGCAAAUACAUCUGCACACUCGGUUCAUUGCUCAGGUCCUCAGGUCCUCCUGUGAUGGCUGAUGCUCAAAGCAAGAAUUGCUGCUUCUUGCUGAGCAUGCCCAGCACCAUCACACGGCGGGGCUCUGUCCAGUAAUCAAUCCAUUAACGGGGUGCAGGAGAGGUAAGCGCGUGGGAGAGGGCUACAUCUGCAGGCACUGGCUGAGAGUAGAUUUAUGUGGGAUGUCCUUUAAGGCCAACUUUGGGAAAGGAACCAACUGGAAUAACAUAAGGAAGAGGGAAGUUACUUAGCAGUUUGAAUAGUUAGUAAAUUGUGACAUGCUCACAUGAAAGAACAUGCUGAGUUCACCUACAUACACGCUUUCCAGCAUUAUUUCCACUGAGUCUUUGCUGAAGCGUAAUAGUGAAGCUGAGCUCGUGGCUGCCAAUGGAACAGCUGCAGCAGCAGAUCUAACCACCAGUGCUGCACAAACACAGUGGGAGGCGUCUCCCUGCAGCCACCGCCAGCACUGUGCGGUGCCAGGAGAGCAUCACUGCUGCCCAGCUCCUCUGCUCCCAGCACAGCACUGCCCUACAGCCUGCAGCCCUCCUGGGGAGGCGGCGAAAAGCAGUGGAGGUGCUGCUUUCUCCAUCCGUGGCAGCCACGGGUAACAAAAGCAUCUGCAGUUGAAGAAAAAAUAACCCUCUGCUCCAGUAUUGGAGUGAUUUGUCAUUAGAAAAGCCAAAACCAGCUCAUCUUGUUCACGAGUGCUCCCACUGACUAAAGCGGCAGUCAGCAUGCGCUCUGGUUUUGAACCCAUGCAAUCCUUUUCCGAUGAAGACCUGACAAGCCAGGACAGAUUGCAGGCCGGGAGAUACUCACAGAGCGAUAGUGCCUUACCUGUAGGUGGAUCCUCAUUUUAGAUAGCACGAAGCAGAGCCAGGGAGCUGAUUCACUGCUCUUCUCCAGAUUUUCACCGGAAUAACACCACUGAAUCAUCAGCAAAGUUGAAAUAACAAAUGAUAAAAUGGGACCAUUGUGUUUAAGUUUGCAGCAUGCGUAUGGAAAUGAGCAGCUCUUUCUUGCAGAAUGCCUUUCUUGCGUGGAUACUUUCUGUGUGCUGUUUCCCAAACGUAUCACUAAGAUGAGAAUAUGACACUUAGGCAGCAGUUAUACAUGUCAACCCCCUCCUGCCCAAUUAAAAUCAAAGCUAACAGCUGGUGGGAAUGACCUCAGCACACCUACUCUGCUCUUUUUUCACUAUUCAGAAGAAAAAGGAGGAUGAGGAGGACUUCUACAGCUUCCGAAACGACUCCAUCUUUAUACAUGGUUCGUGUAUUGCUGCUCAGCAGCUAAAGCUUAGAAGCUGCUAAGUUAAGAAACACAGCCCUGGUUUCUCUUCUAUUUAUGAAAAUACUUGCUGAACAAUUGAAAAGGACUGCGUAACUGUGACUUUUUUGCAAGUAAUGCUCUGGAAAAGCAACUGAAGGCAACAGGCAAGCUUGCAAUUAGUAGUUCUAAUUAUAAAGUGUAUACAGAAAACAAUGUAGCAUCAUAAGUAAAGGCCAAGUUCAAAUGAUGCAAUAGGAACAGUAGAACACCAUGUAACAAUGGCAAAGCAUCCAGCAAGAGGAAUACUUCUAAACGAGCCGUAGUUCUCCCGUGAUAGCAACAACAACAAAAAAAGAGGAGAGAAAAUAAUAGCACAGCACUGUAUUCAAUGUAACUGCUGCAGUAAUCCUUUCUCAGUGCCACCCAACGCUCAUGCUUCUGUUGCAGCCCACAGCCAUCCCUGGAUAACACAGCUGCAGAGCAAGACCCAGUAAUGAGUGAUUAUUGCAGACCUGGGGGGGAGGGUCUCCUAUGCUGUUUGUUUAGCCAGGAACUGCUAUUUCCAUCACUGACAGCAGCUACCAAAUACCAAAGUAUGCUGCAGGGGUCUUUGCUGCAUAGUCUGUGGUGUGUAUAUGUGUGUGUCCCCUAAACUUCACCAGUCUGACAGCACUUCAUGUACUGAAUGGGAACUGAGAACCUCCAGCAUUAGUGUGUGCAGCAGCAGCAGCACAGGGUUACGUGCUGUGCUAAAGAACUGCUCUCAAAAUUAAGGCCUGGGUGCAACCAGAGAAGGUGAAGAGACAUAAUACCUUAGGGAAAUGGUUUUAUUUAUUCUGCCUGGAUGCAUAUAUGGCAAUCACCCAUGUAGCACGAUCCACAAUGCUGAAAACCAUUUCAUUAUGUUCUAUAAGUAAGAGCCUGAUGUGGUUCAAUUGUAUCAAUUAUGCAAUGCUUCUAAGUGGUGUAGUCAAGGGUAAAUGCAGGCAAAGGGCACUCCCUUUGUACCUGCUUCUACUCUGGGCACUUCUAAUAUUUACCUGCUCCUCAUAUACCACAGACAGAUGAAUCUGCCCACUUCUAUUUACCGCUGUAUCACUGACUCCUCUUUGGUCAAGAGCUUUUCCUAUGCACCGAUGACACAAUGAAAUAGAAAAUGGAAGUCAAGACACUGCUAUGUGUUCGUCUGUUGUGCAAGAUCUAAGUGUGGCUGCAAUUUUGAGCAAAGCAUCGGUUUUAAACAAUGUUUAAACUGACACUAUUAUUAUGCAAUAUAAUUAAUUAUAGCUAGAAGGGCAUUUGAGGUUAUUUGGCACUACCUUUGUCCAUUUCAUAAUUAUACCAAGAGAAUGACUAAGUUGUGCCUAGGCUAAUUGUACCCAUUUGGUUUUAUCCCUCCUCUCUGCCAUCCUAAGUCACUUGCAUCCUGAUCUGGGAGUUUUUUGGAGGAGUUUGGAUGUGUUUGUGCCAAACACAAUGGAGCCCAGGCUGGCUAGGCAGCCUCAGGUAAUAUUGCAAUAGAAGCACUAACAAUAGCAAUAGUAAUUACUGCUAGACAAAGUGAUAAGUACAAAACAAAUGUCACUUUUUUCAGUCACUGUUAUGGUUGCCUACAGAAAAUUUAUCCUUAUCUGCUCCUGCUCUGUGCAUUCUAGGACGUGUUUGCGUAGCCAGAAGAUAAAGCUUCGUGGCAUGACGUGAUGUCCUCCAGAUGUACUGGGAAGCCCUUCACACACCUCCAGAGAGCAGCUGAAGAGCAGCAGCAGAUGGCUGUGGCAGCAUGCAACGCACCAGCCCCGCUGCCCUAUGUAUCAUGGGGGCUCAGUGUUCAAGGGAUGCACAGUGCAGCUCAGAAGCCUGGGCUGAUGGGGCUGGGUGCUGCAGCGCAGACAUGGCACCGUGAAACCUCUGUGCCCCAGGGCCUGCAGUUUGCUGCCGGUGUUAGGGCCGUGGUGAGGAUGGCAGCUCACCCAGCCUCUGGAGCCAGGCUGGCUGCCUGACAGCCCGGCCACAAGUGCUGUGCCAUAUUGAAGCUCAGCAGCUGCCCCAAGCUGGCAGGCUGUGCGCCAGCCAGACGAGCUGCCCAGAGGUAGCAGUGAGUAAGGCAUCACUUCUGAACGUGACUUGGCAGUGUCAGGAUUAAAACCAAAGAGCCAACAAAAGCAAAAAUAAAAAUAAUUUAAAAAAUAAAAACAAAACCUAACAAUGAUAACAGUGAUUUCUCCAGAAAAGAAUCAGGUUGAGAAAUGGUCUUACCUUAAGAAAAGGCUCACUGUGGCCUUCCAGAAGGGAGCUCACAAGCAGGAGGGGGACAGGGCAAAGGGGAAUGGUUUUAAACUGAAAGAGAGGAGAUUUAGGAUAGGUGUUAGGAAGAAAAUCUUUACUCAGAUGGUGGUGAGGCACUGGCACAGACUGCCUGGAGAAGCUGUGUAUAUCCCAUCACUGGAAGCCAGGUUCAUUCAGUGCCAGGUUGGAUGGGGCCCUGGGCAGCCAAAUCUGGUGGGUGGCAGCUUUACCCAUGCCCAGUGGAUUGGAACUAGAUGAUCUUUAAGGUCUCUCCCAACCUAAGCCAUCCUAUGAUUCUAUGACUGUUCAGCUACAAUGAAAGGCUAUAGUCUUCAGCUGGCGGCUGGACACUGGAUUGCACUCAUAAAAUAGAACUGCCUGCAAGGACUGAAUGCCAUAAUUAACAGGCAUUUUUUAGAAAUUAUUGGUUAAUGUAAUAGAAAUACUGCCAACUGUUGUUGUUAAAACCUAAGUUUGUUCCUUUGGUGGUAAUGCAUAAUGACUCAACACUGCUUCAAUGGGAAGAUACCUUUGUCUGUUACAUAUUGCUACCUUCAUUUGUACAAUGGUUUAUAUGGCAAAUAAUACAAAUUCUGAAACUUAAAGACAGCUUCAGGAAGUAAUCAGAGUGCCACCCGUGUCCUGAGCAAUCGCAGUACUGGCAGUACAACAAGGCCUUUUUAUCAUAUCAUGGCAUUAAUGAUCCAGUCCCACUCCCACGGCAGGCAAUGUGGCCUUUAUCACCAAUGCUGUUUAAGCAGGACUAAGCUUAAAGGGUUCUAGAACAGGGAAAGAUGCUAAUCUAAGUUUCACAUCCAUCUGGUACAUUUCUCAUGCUGGUUAUACACGACCACCCAGAGAACUACUGCACAUUUUUAGUAACAAACUCUAUGAGCCCUACCAGGGAAUACAGGUUGUCCUCAGAUAAUGGGAUCUACUCAUAUGAUGCAGAUGUCUUAUCACCUAAGAACAUUUUCACAAUAUUACAAUAGCGACCGAAAGGUUAUUUCUCAAACCCUGUCUGUCACCCAGUAGGUACCAGCUGAAAAGUUUCUGUUUGAUUGCUAAAGAGUAGAAAGCAAUGAACACACAUUGGCAAAUCUUAGAUCAGGCAUGAUGUGGAUGUUGCACACCUCAGACUAACGCCCACCUUCACUUCAGGGAAAGGAGAAACCAGACCUGCAGACACACUAAUCGCUCCUGCUCUCACCUGGUUGGAAAUGAACUGCAGAACCUUGCUGCUUUCUAUUUACUGCACUGAGAGCCAGUGAUUUCUGAGUACUUCCAGUCAUCAACUGCAUGGCUAUUGCAGCAUUUUAUGAUGUAAAAUCCUCCUAAUGUACGAAUUAAAAAAAUAUAUAUGCAGUCUGUGCUGAGAUUGACAAUUCUGAUACAAGAGGGGGAGGUGAAGUCCAAUCUCUGCUCAGCUGGGAGGAACGCAAAGGUGAUGACACACCACUUAGUUUUGGGACAGCUUGGAGGUGUGGGUGUAUGACCCACCAAAGCGGGGUCACUUCACCCAAAGGAGGGCAAGCAGCAGAACUGGGCUGUCAUGCACAAGACUCAAACCAUCAGACUGUGCCAGAGUCAAAAUGAGAGCUCCCAGAGCUGGUUUCCAGCUGCACCCACUGCUGAGCAGAGACUGCAUCCCCAUCAAGUGCAGGAGGUCAUGUCCUUCAGCUGCUUCUAAGGGGAAGGCGCUUCAGAGCACACAGGCACAGUCAGCAACGCUGGUGGUGGACACAUGCAGACGUGGCCGAGGAAAGCUAAACAGGAUGCAUCAGCACCAAAGGGAUCUGGGCAGCCCAUCCCACUGGCUUUCAGUAGCACUGAAUAUGACGGGCUCUUGGACAAACCUGUGGAUCCCAGCCUGCCAUGUGACACUGCUAAGUGACUCUUGUCAGUAGAGCGUAGCAACUUGACUUAUUCCCUUCUGCAGAGCACACACUGGCCUGUGUACUGUCCAGGGGAGAAGCAGAGCCUCGCAAUUGGAAGGCGGGCACCAAAAGACACACGUGGGGCUGGAAGCUGGACAGUCCCAGCACCCAGCUCAGAAAUAAAACUGCUUUUACAGCAAGGAUUUCAGUAUAUGGUCUGGCUGUUGCUGACCUUGUCUGAGAACCUCUGGCAGCAGUGUGCCCAAUAGUUGACACGCUGCAGGCCUCUAUCAGAUGACAUUGCUAUUACAGUGCCUGGAGAGGUGGGGAAGUUCAUAUGUUAACAAACAAUACUGAGUGAAUUGAUUCCUCCUGCCUGCAUUGCCGUUGCUGUUCCACUCCCUCCACAAAACUAGGCUUUAGGAUACAGUUUAUUCCCUUUUCCAUGUAUCACUGUAACUGCAGUACUGUUGUAGACCAGCUAGAAGAAGUGGAGUUGUGAAUUCACCUUCUCUUUGGAAAUGUUACUCCAUCCACCCACACCUCUUUCUUCUUUGCUAACUCCAGUCAUCCAUCCCCAGGACCUACACCCACACUGAUCCCAACUCACUGAUGAACAUACAUGGAAACGGGCCUUGCUAAAUAGAUUGCAGCUCCUGUUCCAUAGCUGUGUUUAUAGGAUCAUUUGGAUACUAAAUCUAAUACAUAAAUGAGAACCCACUGGUUGAGUAAGGUCUCUGGAUUUAGUGCUCGCUCCAUGAAACAGGUUACUCAGCACAGCAGCUCCGGGUGCCCCAGGACACAGGGCUCAGCCAAGUGGAGGCCUGACCCCAAAGAGACUAACUCUGAUGCUGUUUGGGAACUUCUCCCCAUAGUGACAGGACACUCAGAACCUGAGUGAGGAGACACCUGAACCAUUCAGGAGGACUCCAGCUUCCACCCAACAGAGGUCCCAUCAGCCAAGCUGCCAGAGGUGCCCUGGAGUCCCAUCCCUCUCUCCCAGGGAAAGCCCUGCAACGCUGGGGCCCUAUGAGCUUGGGCUCAUUUCAUUUAAGUCUUCCCACUUUAUAGCAACAAUGUCCUGAAAAGAUUGGAGGAUGCAGAACAAACAGAAACUCAGCAUGGCACAGCGAUGCAAAAAAAGGUUCCAAAAGGUCAAGACAGGGAGAAGUGGAUGAACUCUGGUAUUUUAACAGCUCGGCAUUGAUGCCAUAAAUUAAAAGGAGGUGUGCUGGAUGUUUUAUUUUGUGUGUGUGGUAAACUGUACAGUUAGAGUCUGAAUAAACCUCUUUUGUCAAUUUUACUACCUUUCUGAUAUAAAAAUAAAUAAACUUAAACAAAGAAGAAGUGGAGACCUGCCAAGCCAGCCUACUUUGGUAAGAACUGCACUGACAAGGGAGCAAUUGUGUCUUAAAGCUGAGGGGCUGAAACGAUCAGCUUUUUUGGGCUGGCAAAGCCCUUCUGGAAGGGAGCUGCUCUGUAUGCAGGAGGAGCUACAGGAGAAGGAAAAAAAAAAAAAGGACACUCAUCUAAAAGGCAACAAAAGAACAUCAUUAAAAUUUCUGCUACCAGAACUGCUUCCCUGUUUGAUGGGAAGGCUGCAGGUAAAUAGCUGCUGCAAAAUAUACCAGGGUAACAGCACCUAGGAGCAUUUUAAUGGUGAUAUAAAAUUCACAAGUAGAUGAUAUAAUGUACUAAGUAACUUAUUAGGCUGAAUAUAAAACAAAGGUAUCAAGAAUGAUGGUUUUACUCUGCAGUGAAUCUCAGCAAUGAGUUCUAGGCUUACCAGUCCAAUGCCAAGCAUGAGAACUUCCAGUAGGCAGCAACACGUAAUUACCGCUGGGUGGAGGUGAAUCAACCACUUUCCGUCACGAAGCCAAUGAGGGACCCUCAGACAAUCUGCCAAAGGUGGGUGGGUGAAUGAGUGUUACUUUCCUGCUAGGCUCCCAUCAGGGCACCACACCUUGUGAUAUUAUCUCUGUAAUAACCAAACAACUUUAAAUGAUAUUGUGUCACUGCAAAUGAAGCAGGAGGGUGACCCAGCAAGUCAGAUUUCAUUAGUGCAUGAGGGACUGCACUCCAGCAUGCAGCUACACACACACACACACACACCCCUUCAGACCCUGGAAACCUCAGCCUGCAAUGCAGAGCAAUCUAAACUUUACCCAUACUUGCCUGAGAUUGUGUCUCUUCCAUGAGAGAUGCACAUGGACUUGCACAUGCACAGCAGGCUUAUCACUACACCCAUGUCCUAUUUGCUUUUCUGUGUGUCACUGUUGAAAGUUUUCUAAUGCGCUAGGUAAGAAGAUUGCAAAUGAAGCAGAACUUCAGCUGCUCAAUCGCAUUAAUACGGGUACAGUAAAAGAUGACAGGAUUACACACAGUUCGUCUAAUUAGCAAGCCAUGUGCAGCAUUGCCUGCCCAAGUGUUCAUGCACUCAGGCUCGUUGCCUCCCACCACUGCACCUUUCCUGCCUCUUUCCUCAACUGCAAUUGCCUGCUUUAGUUCCAGUCACAGGGGACGUAUCUGGUCUGCCAUAACUUUCCAGCUGUGAACACACCAGUGACUCCUGCCAGCCCUCCACUGUUCUGACUAGCAUCUCCAAGAGCUUUCCACGCAGAAGGAGUGACUCAGAAGACUUUGGAGAUGUCGCACUGGCUGGGAGCAAGUGCUGUUGUCUGCCACAAGGAGAGAGCUUCAAGCCAUCCAAGGGCAUGCCAUAUUGGUUCACAAGGGCCUGAACUACAAUAGUUAGCUGUUCAUCUGGGAGACCUGGCUGGAGUUGGUUACAGAUUCCUCGAAAAGAACGAAGCUGUUAUCUCCACAGCAUCACCUGCCAGUUAUUGCUUAUUUGUAAUAUGAAUGAAUUCAGUGCAUACAUCACAAGUCAAGAGACUUCAGUUCUGAGAUUUUAUCUUCGAGGAUCAAAGAACUGAACUUUCUCUCUCUGAUCUUCAACCUGAGCAAAAAAAAAAGAGGUCUGUCUUUAACGCACUGUCAAAACCUCCCCACUUCAGAGGCAGCAUGAGAAAGACUGUUUCUGGGCUUUAUUUUGGAUUUAUGCAGCUCUCACACGUUCUUGUGGUGACAACUGGACAUGUUGUGAGACUUCCUAAUAAAACAAUUGUUUCGGCCUGAAA